rnacentral:misc_RNA from 1 species
UGGCUAGCGAUUUUAGACCAGUAAC